AGUGAACGCUGGCGGCAGGCCUAACACACGCAAGUCGAACGGCAGCACAGGAGAGCUUGCUCUCUGGGUGGCGAGUGGCGGACGGGUGAGGAAUACAUCGGAAUCUACCCUUUCGUGGGGGAUAACGUAGGGAAACUUACGCUAAUACCGCAUACGAUCUGAGGAUGAAAGCAGGGGACCGCAAGGCCUUGCGCGAUUGGAUGAGCCGAUGUCCGAUUAGCUAGUUGGCGGGGUAAAGGCCCACCAAGGCGACGAUCGGUAGCUGGUCUGAGAGGAUGAUCAGCCACGCUGGAACUGAGACACAGUCCAGACUCCUACGGGAGGCAGCAGUGGGGAAUAUUGGACAAUGGGCGCAAGCAUGAUCCAGCAAUGCCGCGUGUGUGAAGAAGGCCUUCGGGUUGUAAAGCACUUUUGUUGGGAAAGAAAUCCUGUCGGCUAAUACCCGGCGGGGAUGACGGUACCCAAAGAAUAAGCACCGGCUAACUUCGUGCCAGCCGCCGCCGUAAGAC
rnacentral:rRNA from 1 species